rnacentral:rRNA from 1 species
GAACGCUAGCGGCAGGCUUAACACAUGCAAGUCGAGGGGCAGCGCGGGGCGGCAACGUCCUGGCGGCGACCGGCGGAAGGGUGCGUAACGCGUGAGCGACAUGCCCGUUGCCCGGGGACAACCGGUGGAAACGCCGACUAAUCCCCGAUGGGACGGAGGCCCUCAUGGGUCUCUGUUGAAAGUUACGGCGGCGACGGAUUGGCUCGCGUCCGAUUAGCUUGUUGGCGGGGUAACGGCCCACCAAGGCUACGAUCGGUAGGGGUUCUGAGAGGAAGGUCCCCCACAAUGGAACUGAGACACGGUCCAUACUCCUACGGGAGGCAGCAGUGAGGAAUAUUGGUCAAUGGGCGGAAGCCUGAACCAGCCAUGCCGCGUGCGGGAAGGAGGCCCUAUGGGCUGUGAACCGCUUUUGCCUGGGGGCAAUAAGGGCGUCGUGCACGUCCGAUGAGAGUACCAGGCGAAUAAGCAUCGGCUAACUCCGUGCCAGCAGCCGCGGUAAUACGGGGGAUGCGAGCGUUAUCCAGAUUCAUUGGGUUUAAAGGGUGCGUAGGCUGUGCGUCAAGUCAGGGGUGAAAUUCCGGGGCUCAACUCCGGGGCUGCCCUUGAUACUGUCGCGCUGGAGUGCGGAUGCCGCCGGAGGAAUGAGUGGUGUAGCGGUGAAAUGCUUAGAUAUCACUCAGAACACCGAUUGCGAAGGCAUCUGGCGAAUCCGUAACUGACGCUGAGGCACGAAAGCGUGGGGAUAGAACAGGAUUAGAUACCCUGGUAUUCCACGCCGUAAACGAUGAUGGCUAACCGCCGGCGACACACUGUCGGUGGCCAAGCGAAAGCGAUAAGCCAUCCACCUGGGGAGUACGUCGGCAACGAUGCAACUAAA